rnacentral:rRNA from 1 species
CAGUCGCCGCGGGAAUACGAAGGGUGCAAGCGUUACUCGGAAUUACUGGGCGUAAAGCGUGCGUAGGUGGUGGUUUAAGUCCGUUGUGAAAGCCCUGGGCUCAACCUGGGAAUUGCAGUGGAUACUGGGUCACUAGAGUGUGGUAGAGGAUAGUGGAAUUUCCGGUGUAGCAGUGAAAUGCGUAGAGAUCGGAAGGAACAUCUGUGGCGAAGGCGACUAUCUGGGCCAACACUGACACUGAGGCACGAAGGCGUGGGGAGCAAACAGGAUUAGAUACCCCGGUAGUCCCUGUCUCUUAUAC